GAGAUAGUAGCUUAAGGGUAGAGCAUAAGAUUGUUAAUCUGAGUAUAUUAGUUCGAUUCUAGUCUAUGUCG
rnacentral:tRNA from 1 species